rnacentral:rRNA from 1 species
CGCGGCCUAUCAGCUUGUUGGUGGGGUGAUGGCCUACCAAGGCGACGACGGGUAGCCGGCCUGAGAGGGUGUCCGGCCACACUGGGACUGAGAUACGGCCCAGACUCCUACGGGAGGCAGCAGUGGGGAAUAUUGCACAAUGGGCGCAAGCCUGAUGCAGCGACGCCGCGUGGGGGAUGACGGCCUUCGGGUUGUAAACCUCUUUCACCAUCGGCGAAGCCGGGAGCUUUUGUUUCUGGUGACGGUAGGUGGAGAAGAAGCACCGGCCAACUACGUGCCAGCAGCCGCGGUAAUACGUAGGGUGCGAGCGUUGUCCGGAAUUACUGGGCGUAAAGAGCUCGUAGGUGGUUUGUCGCGUUGUCCGUGAAAUUCCCUGGCUUAACUGGGGGCGUGCGGGCGAUACGGGCAGACUGGAGUACUGCAGGGGAGACUGGAAUUCCUGGUGUAGCGGUGGAAUGUGCAGAUAUCAGGAGGAACACCGGUGGCGAAGGCGGGUCUCUGGGCAGUAACUGACGCUGAGGAGCGAAAGCGUGGGGAGCGAACAGGAUUAGAUACCCUGGUAGUCCACGCCGUAAACGGUGGGUACUAGGUGUGGGUUUCCUUCCUUGGGAUCCGUGCCGUAGCUAACGCAUUAAGUACCCCGCCUGGGGAGUACGG